rnacentral:misc_RNA from 1 species
CGCACCUUGCGCCCCUUGGUAUUCCGAGGGGCAUGCCUGUUUGAGUGUCAUUAAAUUCUCAACCUCAUAAGCUUUUGUUUACUGAGUGUUGGAUGUGAGGGUUGCUGGCUUGUAACAGAGUCAGCUCCCUUGAAAUGCAUUAGUGGAUUUCAACCAAGUUGUAGACCACAUUGGUGUGAUAAUUAUCUACGCCAUUGAUCAAGUGUCUGCAGUGUGGAAGGUUGCAAUUGUUAACGCGGUUGCUCUUUCUGUUAUAAGUGUUGUUAAAGUCUGCUUCAAACCGUCCUAAGUUAUUGGACAAAUUUGACUUGUUUGACCUCAAAUCAGGUAGGACUACCCGCUGAACUUAA